GGUGGUGUAGCUUAAUGGUUAGAGAGCUUGUCUAGCAUUCAUGAAGCCCUGGGUUCAAUCUCUAGCACAAACA
rnacentral:tRNA from 1 species